CCUCCUCUCUAACAUUAAAUGUAACUCUGUUUAAUUGUAAUGGUUGCUACUGCCUCUUCUAUGAAAAAACUUGCAUUGCUUGCUCGAGGAAUACCUAUGCUGCCUUUCAAUGCUUUUGUGAUCAAACCAUCUUGAGAAAAAUCUGAAUGCUUAACAUUACCUUGGCUGCCUGAGGCCCUGAGCUUAAUAUGUCCAUCUUAGUUAUAACUGAAUGCAACCUCUAGACUUGGUGUUGGAUGAGAAAAAUGUGUUUUUGUUAUUAUGCAAUCAUUUUGCUGUUGUGCUUGCUUUCACUAAUGCAUUCUGCAAAUAUGCAGCUUUUAGUUCAUAGACAAGAUUGAUAAUUUCGGUGGAAGCACAUAACCAUCAUUGUUAUGUCGUUUAUAUGGCUAUCUUCUUGGAGGCUCACUUUUGAAUGUGGCAUGUUUAAUUUGUUUGUGUGUGUUAAGUAUACUGCCUGACUGUUGCUAAAUCAUCUAAAGGCUGAUAUCACUGGACUAUUGUUUUUGAGGUUGAGUAUAGACAAGCUGGCAUAAUUUUCAAGAACAAAGCUGUCUCAACUCAACUCAACUCAAC
rnacentral:misc_RNA from 1 species